rnacentral:rRNA from 1 species
GGCGGCGUGCUUAACACAUGCAAGUCGAACGAUGAGGCGUUGUUCUUUCGGGGGCGGCGCGGAUUAGUGGCGAACGGGUGAGUAAGACGCGGGCAACCUGCCCUCCUGCUUCGGGAUAAGCUUUGGAAACGGGGUCUAAUACCGGAUGUGCCUGUCUGGUCGCAUGGCUGGGCGGGGAAAGAUUGUUUUCGGCGGGGGAUGGGCUCGCGGCCUAUCAGCUUGUUGGUGGGGUGAUGGCCUACCAAGGCGUCGACGGGUAGCCGGCCUGAGAGGGUGGUCGGCCACACUGGGACUGAGAUACGGCCCAGACUCCUACGGGAGGCAGCAGUGGGGGAUAUUGCACAAUGGGCGCAAGCCUGAUGCAGCGACGCCGCGUGGGGGAUGGAGGCUUUCGGGUUGUAAACCCCUUUCGGCGCGGGACAAGGCUCCGUUUGGCGGGGUUGAAGGGUACGCGUCAAAAAAAGC